UCAAGAAUUGAAGGGGUCGCUCCAAUUUGCUCACCGCAUGAAGGGAGGAGCAGAGGACGACAAACCAGAGAGACCCAAGCAUCGCCAUUCCCGUUUCCCUUGAACCGGCAAACACAAGACGAAUCCAAUCAAUAUCUUCGCUUCCCAGAACCCAAAACCCAGAAGAAGAAGAAGGACGACCCACCAGGGCGCCCCUUCGCUAGUUGUUUGCCGGGUUUGCGGACCCAGAACGGACCCGGGUUACCAAGUAUAUUCUUGAAGCUGGUAACUCAGUUCCAAUGGCCAACGAUACUCAAUUUUCAGGUUUUCAGCCUCUACAGCCUCCUGUAGUCGGUUCUGCAGAUCCUCCAAGGAAUUUUACUCAGCCAGUGCCUGUUCCACCUUGGCCAGCGCUUCCCCCUCAGCAACCACAGCAAUUUGUUUCAACAGUACCUCAACAUUUUCAGCCUCCUAGCCACGUUACUCUACUCAGGAAUAUUGGGUUGCCUUCUGCACCUCAGCAUCCCCAAUUUCCUCCACCAGUUCAACAUUUAGUUCCAAGGCCUGGCCAGCCAGUUCAGAAUAUCCUUCCUCCUCCUCCGCCAUUGCCUAUUUCUCAGCAAAAUAAGCCCAUCGCAUCUGAGUCAUCACGACCUCAUCAGCCUAGUGGUCUUGUUCCGAAUAACUUCGUGCCUGCAGGGAGCGGCCUAAGAGCUCCUCUGUCAUCAUCAUACACAUUGCAGUUUGCUUCUCAUGGGGGACAGCAGCAAGGGAACUUUGUUGCUCCAAGGCCCCCAUCUCUCUACCAUCAAAUGUCUCAACCACAGGUUUCAGGAGUCUCAAGUGGGGAUCAAGUUAAUCUGCCAUCUGAAAGCCAGAAGACUACCCCUGUGACUGUAUUGCCGGUUACCAGUGAGCAGCCUGCAGUUUCUGCUGCACUAGCACUUGAGCCAAGUGUUCAGCAUAACUCUUCUGAAGCUGUCCAAAGAAUCCAAACCGAUUGGAUAGAGCAUACCUCUGCUGCAGGAAGAAAAUAUUAUUACAACAAGAAGACAAAACAAUCUACAUGGGAGAAGCCUUUUGAGUUGAUGACGGUCACUGAGCGUGCAGAUGCUUCAACCGACUGGAAGGAAUUUACAAGUUCUGACGGAAGGAUAUACUACUACAACAAGGUUACUAAGCAGUCUAAGUGGGAAAUGCCUGCUGAACUGAAGUUGGCUCGUGAAGAGACAAAGAGAAAAUUGGCCGCAGGAACACAAUCAGAGUCCCUGCCUUCGUCUUCUACUUCAGUGGUUCCAGUUAAAGAACUCGAUGGUUCAAAUAUAUCAUCUUUGACAUCUCAAGGAGCUACAUCGAGCCCAGUUCCAGUGGCACCUCUUAAUGCCUCUGGGGACACAGAGUCAGCAGUGGUUGCUGAAUCAGAAGAAAUAUCUGUCCCAGUGCCUGCUUCAACGUUGGCGGCUGUUGUCUUGGAUAUAUCUGUGGAUGAUGCUGAACAAAUGGCUGUUGUUCAAGGGAGCAAUGAAGUUGCUGCUGAUACGAUUGAUGAUGGCACAACCCCAAUGAUUGAUUCCGAGAAGUCCACUAUUCAGGAUAUUCCCUGUUCAGCUGGAGUGUCUGUUCAAGACAAAGAAGCCAAGAAAAAUGAAGUGAUUGCUGAAGGGGCAGAGAGACUUGUCGAAGAGAAAUUAAUUAAUAGUGAAUCAUCACCAUAUGCCAAUAAGCUGGAAGCUAAAGCUGCAUUUAAUGCACUUCUGGAGAAUGCAAAUAUCAGUUCUGACUGGACUUGGGAGCGGGCAAUGAGAGUAAUUAUAAAUGAUAAAAGGUAUGGUGCUUUAAAAACACUUGGAGAGAGGAAGGAAGCAUUUAACGAGUUUGUUGGUCAAAGGAAAAAGCAGGAAGUUGAGGAUAGACGCAUUCAGCAAAAAAAAGCUAGGGAUAAUUUCAAGCAAAUGUUAGAAGAAUGCAGAGAGCUGACAUCUUCUUCAAGAUGGAGCAAAGUAGUGACAUUGUUUGAAGAAGAUGAACGUUUCAAAGCUGUUGAAAGAGACAAAGACCGGAAGGAUAUAUUUGAGAGCUUCAUUAAUGAGCUGGAAAAGAAGGAGCGGGAGAGAUCUUUGGAGGAGCGGAAGAAAAAUAUAAGGGAAUACAGGCAAUUCUUGGAGUCUUGCGAUUUUAUUAAGGCUAGCAGUCAGUGGCGCAAACUACAAGAUCGCUUGGAGGCUGAUGAGAGAUGUUCACGCCUUGAAAAGAUCGAUCGGUUAGAGAUAUUCCAGGAUUAUCUGCAUGAACUAGAGAAAGAAGAGGAGGAGCAGAGGAAGAUACAGAAGGAGGAAAUGAGAAAGGCAGAGCGCAAAAACCGUGAUGAAUUCCGCAAAUUGAUGGAAGAACAUGUUGCUGCUGGCACUCUAACUGCUAAGACUCUUUGGCGUGAUUACUACAUGACGGUUAAAGAUUUACCAGCAUAUAUGGCAGUUGCGUCAAAUACGGCAGGUUCAACGCCAAAAGAUUUGUUUGAAGAUGUUGCCGAGGAACUACAGAAACAGUAUGAGGAGGAUAAAUCUCAAGUAGAUGAUGCAGUAAAACUUAGAAAGAUCUCCUUAACAUCAACCUGGACUGUUGAAGACCUGAGAGGAUCCAUUGCAGAUGAUAUGCGUGGCGCACCUAUAUCAGAAAUUAAUUUUAAAUUAGUGUUUGAUGACUUGCUGGAAAGAGCUCGGAAGAAAGAAGAGAGAGUUGCUAAAAAGCGUAAACGACUCGGUGAUAAGUUAUUCGAUUUACUUACGACUAUAAGGGAAAUAACUCCAUCUUCAACAUGGGAUGAGUGCAAACAACUGAUUGAAAAUAGUCAUGAGUACAGUUCAAUCGGUGAUGAUAUCUAUUGUCAGGAUAUUUUUGAAGAGUACAUAACAAAAUUGAAGGAUCACGAAACAAGAAAACACAAGGAGGAAAAGGCAGAAAAGGAAAAGAAGAAGCGGGGAAAAGAAAGGAAAAGAGUGAAAGAUAGGAGAGAAAAGGAUAGGUAUGAUAGAGAGGAGGAGGAAUCGAGGGACAACGGAGCAGACAGUGACCGAGAAAUUUUGUCUGAGACUCGUGCAUCAUAUAAGAGGAAAAAAUCAGGUGAAGAUCGUGAAAGGAAGCGUCACAGGCAUAUUCAUAGAACAGCAGAUUAUAUGGACAUUGCUGAGGCAGAGCAUUCUGAAAAAAAUCAUAGACACAAUGGUGACCAUAAGAAGGCCACACAGCCUGAAUCCACUCCCGAGUCUGACAGCGAAAGCCGCCAUAAGAGACACAAGAGAGAUCACAGAAAUGGUUAUCAUAGAAGUGGUGGGUAUGAGGAGGAACUUGAAGAUGGGGAAUUCGGUGAAGAUGUAAGAAAUUAGUAGUUUGGCUCUGUUCAUCUUUUAGCUGCUGUGAACCUUUUCAAGCUCCCUGCAAAGUCCAGCUAAGUCUAUUCGAGCAGGAAUGCUAUAUGCUUACAAAAAAGGAGGUCUUCAUAUGGAGUUGCGCACUCACAUGAGCAGUGGGGGAAACCGGGGAAUGGGUUGAGUAAACUCCCCCGGGCUGGAAAAUAACAGAUGAAGCUAAGAGUAAUAUUUCUAACUACGUGGACAUUAUGUCACAAGAUUAAUCUUUUGUAGUCUCCAUAUGUUUGCAGUGAAAGUUGCAAGUAUAGGUUCUUACAGUCGAUCGGAUUCUAUAUUCUGCCUGUUGGUUUUGUU